GAUGAACGCUGGCGGCGUGCCUAAUACAUGCAAGUCGAGCGAACGGACGAGAAGCUGGCGCCUCUGAUGUUAGCGGCGGAGGGGAGAGGAACACGUGGAUAACCUACCUAUAAGACUGGGAUAACUUCGGGAAACCGUAGCUAAGACCGGAUGAUAUUUUGAACCGCAUGGGGCAAAAGUGAAAGACGGUCGUUCGGUCGGUAAUAGAUGGAUCCGCGCUCCAUUCGUUAGUUGGUAAGGUAACGGCUUACCAAGGCAACGAUGCAUAACCGCCCUGAGCGGGUGAUCCGCCACCCUGGCACUGAGACACGGUCCCGACUCCUACGCUGGGCCGCGGCCCGGACUCUUACGCAAUGCGCGAAAGCGUAACGGAGCAACGCCGCCUGAGUGCUGAACGUCUUCGGAUCGUAAAGCUCUGUUAUCCGGGAAGAACAUAUGUGUAAGUAACUGUGCACAUAUUGACGGUACCUAAUCAGAAAGCCCCGGCUAACUCCGUG
rnacentral:rRNA from 1 species